rnacentral:rRNA from 1 species
AUUGAACGCUGGCGGCAGGCCUAACACAUGCAAGUCGAACGAGUGGCGGACGGGUGAGUAAUGUCUGGGAAACUGCCUGGUGGCGGGGGAUAACUACUGGAAACGGUCGCUAAUACCGCAUACCAUCGGAUGUGCCCAUAUGGGAUUAGCUAGUAGGUGGGGUAAAGGCUCACCAAGGCGACGAUCCCUAGCUGGUCUGAGAGGAUGACCAGCCACACUGGAACGGAGACACGGUCCAGACUCCUACGGGAGGCAGCAGGGGGGAAUAUUGGACAAUGGGCGCAAGCCUGAUGCAGCCAUGCCGCGUGUAUGAAGAAGGCCUUCGGGUUGUAAAGUACUUUCAGCGGGGAGGCGUUACCCGCAGAAGAAGCACCGGCUAACUCCGUGCCAGCAGCCGCGGUAAUUC